rnacentral:rRNA from 1 species
GUGAGGAAUAUUGGUCAAUGGGCGAGAGCCUGAACCAGCCAAAUCGCGUGAAGGAUGAAGGUAUUAUGUAUUGUAAACUUCUUUUAUCGGGGAAUAAAGUGCGGGACGUGUCCCGUUUUGUAUGUACCCGAAGAAUAAGGAUCGGCUAACUCCGUGCCAGCAGCCGCGGUAAUACGGAGGAUCCAAGCGUUAUCCGGAUUUAUUGGGCUUAAAGGGUGCGUAGGCGGACUGUCAAGUCAGCGGUGAAAGUCCAUGGCUCAACCAUGGAAUUGCCGUGAAAACGGUCGGUCUUGAGUGUAGAUGAGGUAGGCGGAAUUCGUAGUGUAGCGGUGAAAUGCUUAGAUAUUACGAAGAACUCCAAUUGCGUAGGCAGCUUACCAGGCUACAACUGACGCUGAGGCACGAAGGUGCGGGGAUCAAACAGGAUUAGAAACCCGGGUAGUCC